UUAACACAACAAAUCUAAUUAGAGACAUAGCUGAUCAAAUCAUUCAUUUUUGCUCACUACAUCUGAGCCUCUUACCCAUUUUAAAAUACAAAAAAUUGUAAUAUUGUAUGUCUUGUCCUCAUCGCCAUGACAAGCAGAUAACAUCGCUUAGGCUGCAGAUUUUGCCAUAAGAAUACUGCACUGACAGGUGUUUCUAAUAUUUUGUCCACAUUCAUUGAUAUGUUUGAGCAACACAUGUAUCAAACACAUGACUUACACACUCCUCCUAUCUAUUGUACACGAAUGCACCACAUGCUGUAUUGCUUAUCAAGUUAGUUAUUUCAAUGAAGUACUUGCUCUCCUUGCCUACUUGUCUCCUGCCUGUUCACUAAAUAUACAAGCUGAAGUGUUUUCAUCACAAACUUAAAAACAAUGACAUGGACAGACAAAAAAACCCACCUUAAAUUAUGAAUUUUUCUGUACAUGCUGCCAUCACAAUAACACUAACAGGACUCAUUAAUAGUGCAAUGAACUAGCCACAGCGGCCUUGUGUCUAUUAAGAGUCACAGCUGGCCGUUUAGCCGUCAGGGAGGUCACAGUUCAGCUCAGCCAGCUCGUAUGUGGAGACAGUUGCAGUGUGUUCACUUCACCUACUUGUGUUUGAAGUCUUCAUAGCAGCUACGUGUAUUUCCAAUGGACCACAGAGGACACUGUUGACAUUUCAGCUCCAAACUGUCUUCUGUCCACACUCGUCCUCUUCCUCUCCCGGAUGUAGGUCCAGUCUCAAGGUGCACCAGCACAACGAAAACAGGCUGCACAUCCCGCCAGUCAAGGUUUUAUGGACUGCUGCAGAAGCCAGCUAACCAUAUCAGCCUUUUCCUCUGAAGCUCCAGCAAUGUUCUGUGGACUACAAGACUUCACCCAACUUUCCUGUGUUUGGGGGUGUUUUUGUUGCCUAAACCCUGAACACAGACUUGAGGCGAAGUCUGGAUUCUGAUGCUGCAUUCUUGGACCUUGUACACCAGCCAUCCACCUCGACCAUCUCCCUGUGACUCCAGCAGUUCCUAAAUACCUAAUAUAAUGAAGGAUGUGCGUUGCAUGCAUGAAAGAUAGCCGUGGUCAAAGCAUGACAAUUUUUUUUAUUUGUGCCCAAUACUCUUAGGAGUUAUAACUUUUGUGUUAUCUGUAUUUAGCAUGUGUGGCAUUUGCUAAUAAAAACUACUGAAGUACA